rnacentral:lncRNA from 1 species
UGUGAGCCGCUGUGCCCAGGCCAAUCCCAGAGAUUUUGAAGAUGAUUUCUCGAUACGAGUUUCACGAAGACUUGAAAAGAAUGUGUCCUCUGUUGUUGGAUGGAGUGUCCUUGAAAUGUUCAUUAGCCUUCUAGCUCCAUUCAGAAGAGCCUCCGAAGUAGAGACCAGAAAUCCUUCUAGUGGGCUGUGCUUUGAGCAGUACUGCUUGUUGACUGCUUUACUUGGAAGGAGAGAUCGACUGAGGACAGCACUGGAUUUGACUCAUCCCUGCAUCCCCCGAGCACCUCGUGGGUGCCGUAAAGGCAGCUGGGUUGAUGAUGACUGAGUGAAGGAGCGCCUGAGUGGAUGAGCCACUGAGUGAAUGAACUGGAGUUCAUCUUCCACGUGGUCCUCAGCAUCCACUCUAGAAGCCAAAGCCAAGGACACAGCAACCCACCGAGUGCCUUGUCCUCACUCUCUCCAACUGGGGAGUGCCCCUGCGGUGUCAUCUCUCUUUACAGAAGAGAUGCCAUGAGCUACUUUCCUUUCCCCACCUCACCUAACUUCUCUGCUGUAGCCUAACAGUCCAGGACCUGGGGAUUCAGGUGAGACACAGAUUAAGUCCCCAUAACUGACAUUUUCUUCUGAGAAGAAAGCAUUCACAUUCAAGGACUUGAGCAGCUCUGAGCCCCAUGGCAGCUGAGAUGCCACAGUGCGUCAAGUACAGGCACAUGGCAUCUGGGAGGCAGAGCUACAUCCUCUGGGUUGGAUGAUUUCUGCCUUUCCCCAGGGGUUCACAGCUUGCAAUCAUUCUGUAACUGAGGAGUCUGGUGGAAAUGGGGGUAGCAAAGAGAUCAGAGCAGGCAAAUGGUCCUCUGGGGCUGGGAACACUCCCUCUUUCUACCUUCCAACUGCAGGCACAUGUACGUGUCUUUUCAGCCUGAGGGAUCUAAAGCCUUGGGACUUCUGGAUCUGCAAGUGGUCCCUGUUUUGGUAGCUAUUGACUGACGAGGGGCUCUUCGGUAAGUUCUGGGGUGGCAGUGGAGGUGAUGAUGGGAGGGUGUUACAGGGCUCCACAGGCUCUUACAGGGCUCGGGAGCUUAUUUAAGGGAACACCUUGAUUGUCCAUGUGUCGUGGGCCAGAGAAGAAAGGCAGCACUGUGGAUCUUCUGGGAGGAAAGGAGAGGCGUCGAUUUCUGACUCCAGUUUUCUAUGAUCAGCACAGACUCUGUCCCACCUCCUCCCUACAGAGCUUCUGGAUCCUGGAGGAUGGAGAAUAGGCUAAAUUGCACAGGCCAGCUCCAGUCCAUUGGCAGGGCUGCCUAGAACAUGGCUGUGAUGAUCCCAAAGCUCAAUAGCAGAGAACCCUGUGGGGUGCUAGGAGUGUCUGCCAGGGUGCCGCAGGGAAAGGGGAGCAUGUGUGUAGAUGUAGAAAGCAUCUCUGCCAUCCCCUCCCCUAAAGAAUAUAUAACAUGGCCAUGCAGAAAAACACUUGUGAAAGGAGCUGCUGCCCUCAGGACAGCGUGUCAUUGAAAUGGGGGCUGAGCAACCCGUCAGAAGAGUGGGGAGGAGGGACCAUCCUCCAGCCCCUUCCCAGCUCUCUUCUGGAGCCAUAAGCCACAACACUGUCUAUGAAAAAGCUGAGGCCUAGAGCAGAAGGAGUGCAAAAUCCCAGCUACUGCAGGCCUACGCCCAGUGGUUCUCAAAGUGUUGUCCUCAGUCUAGCAGCAUCAGUGUCACCUGAAAACUGGUUAGACAUCCAGGUUCUCAGUUGUUAUCCAGCUCUAGCAGAUGGGAAACGCUGGGGGCGGGACCAGCCAUCUGUGUUUAACAAGCCCCACAGGUGACUGCUGUAGCCUUGAGUGAGGACCUCGGCCAAAAAGAAGGCUCCUACCGUGGCUGUUUGCUGAUGGUCUUCGCAGAGCCUGCUGUCUUUGAGCUUCCUGAGAGAGGGACACUACCCUCGCUUAGCCUGGCAGUGUUGCCCAGGAGGAGGCAGUGGAGUUAAGAAGCCUGGGUCUGAGCUCCUCAGCUGUGCAGACAACUCCUACUUGUUCUUCAACGCUCAACUUUAAGUUCAGUCACCACCUGCAGAAGUCUUCUCCAAAACCUCCCCACCUGGCUGACUAAGGGGCUGGCUUUAUGCUCUUGCAGUACUCAUGCUUCCUACUGUCACAGUUCUGACCACACCGUGGGAAAACGUCUCUAACUAGAGACCUGUCUUGCCUCUUGUGCCUGUAGUACGGGAUGGGUGCCCAGUGUGUGUUGAUUGUAUGAAUCAAUCUCUGUGACUCCAGAGUUCCUUUCUUCAGGAGAUUAGACAUCACCCCUGCAAUCAACAAUGCAAGCCACUGCUGUUUCCUCCAUCCUGAGCAUGAGGAACCUAUCCAGUUUCUCUCUCAGAUGCCAGGGCCAUGAGGCAAGUCCAGCCUUGGCCUAGAACCAAAGAUGGAAACAAAAAGGGGCCAGACUGUGUUGCCUUCUUGAGCCUGGUCUGACUCCUGAGUGGAAGUCUGAUUCCAGGUACAUGAGAUAAGCACUAAUACCUCCAGUUUGCAGAUUAAGAGACUGAGGUCCUGAAGAGGUUAAAGAACUUGGCUCAAGUCACAUAGCUGGUGAGCAGCAAGAUACAAGAAUCAACCCAAGUCCAGGGGGCUGUGUGCCGUUUACACUUCACAUCUGUGCUGCCAGGGCUGUAGCUAUAAAAGCUUGAAAACCAUUACUCUGAGAAUCUCUCUGUUGGGAAAAUGAGUCCCUUCAACUCUAGUUGUUGCCACUGGGAUGCUAACAGAAAGCAAAGUCUCAGAGGAAAGAUGUGGCAUUCCUGAGUGUCUUCCAUGUACCAGGACUUCUAUUUGCUAGCCACUUUAUGUUCCUCAUCCCAUCCUUCUGUGAGGGACAUACUUUUCAGAUGAGAAACGUAAGCUCCGCGAAGCUAAGGGGCCGGACUGAGGUCCCACAGCGAGAGUGUGGAGGAGCCAGGAUCCGAACCCCAUCGCCAGCCCUUGCCAGUUCCAUGAUUCCGGUGCCAGCGCUCGCCUGACCUCCAGGGCUGUCAUGGUGGGAAGGGACUGGAGGGCAUCUGCUGGGCAAAGGAAAGAGACAAACAUCAUCCCAGAGCCUGUCUUCCCUGGGCAAUACCCGGGCCACUCCAGACAUGGCGUCUUUAGCCCUUCCUUGGUCACUGGCCCCCAGGUGAAGAGAGCAUUUUUCUCUGACUCAAGUUCUUGCCUCUGGAUUUGCCAAGCUCCUAUGACAGUCUUCGCCCUUCUGAAGCUCUCUCAGGCUCCCCUUCCAGAAAUCCCGCAGGUUCCACCGACCUCUCUGAGAGCACAGGCGAGUGGUUGAACGGUGGGCUUUAGAGACGGCGCGGCACCAGAGUCCUGUACUGGCUGUGUGAUCCUGAACCUCCUCACUGAGAUUCUCAUCUGCAAGAUGGAGA